UGUGACCACGUGUGUUUUCUCCAGUUUCCUCCCACAUUCCAAAGACGUAGAGGUUUGUGGUUAAUUGGCUUUGGCAAAAUUGUAAAUUGGCCCUCGUGGGCUGGCUUGGCCCUCGUGUGUAGGGUAGUAGUACUACUGUACAGGAUGAUCACUGUGAACUUAGUGGGCUGAAGGGCCCGUUUCCGCCCUAACUCAAGAUAAAGUCUAAAGGAUCAUAUACAGGCAAAUUAGAUUAGGCUUUCUGAACAUCAUAUUCAGCACAGACAUUAUUGGACAGACUGUUCUAUAUUCCAAGGCGGCUAAGGUGUGUAUAGUUGACCAAAUGUGAACAAGUACGUCAAGUAAAGUUGGCUAUGGAGUAAAGUGCAAUAACUAGGAUAAAUGCCAAUUAUGAUUUCAAUAUUAAAGAAGCUUUUUGUGUAACCUGAAACCAUGCUGCCUUAUUAUUCAAAGUGUGGAUUGUGAAUGCUUUUGAUUACGAACAUAGGGAGAAACAUUUCUAUUUGAUAGAAACAGUCAGUAAAUGCUUAGAUUUAAGAUAAAUGUAAAAGGAACAGAGUGUGGGUACUUUUAAAUGCCAUGAGUUUAUUUUUACAGCCUGGGGU